UACGUAGGGUGCAAGCGUUAAUCGGAAUUACUGGGCGUAAGGCGCACGUAGGCGGUUCGUUAAGUCGGAUGUGAAAUCCCCGGGCUCAACCUGGGAACUGCGCUUGUGACUGCAAGGCUAGAGUACGGCAGAGGGGGGUGGAAUUCCACGUGUAGCAGUGAAAUGCGUAGAGAUGUGGAGGAACACCAAUGGCGAAGGCAGCCCCUGGGUCGAUACUGACGCUCAUGCACGAAAGCGUGGGUAGC
rnacentral:rRNA from 1 species